UUUUUUUUUUUUUUCUCCUUUUUUCGUGAUUUUGGUCCUGUGGGCAGCAGGUCAGUCAUUUCCACGUGAAAGGAACAGACCCCGUGCUGACAUCAGCACACACAGAAUCUCACUUUAUCGUGAUGGAGAAACAGAAAAUUCACAAUUUAGUUUUAUCCAUUGUGUUAUUGGUUUUCAUUUCAAAAUUGAUUCCCACAGCCCAGUAAGAACUACAUUUUGCAUACUUUUGUGACAAGUCCCUUUAUUCAGCACAAAGCAUUUCAACACGAAUCCCUAGGCUUCUAGGUUUUUUUUAAUGUUAUUUUUAAAUAAAUAUAUAUAUAUAUAUGGGAAUUUAAUUGGAAAUGAAUUUAAAGUAUAAAUAACCAUCAUCCAAAAUAUUGAGAGUAAAAUGCUUUUCUUCCCCAGGCCCCACCACAUAUUUUUAGUAACAAAACUUGCUGAGUGGUUUAACAAGCAAGCGGUAAUGGGGCCAAAUGUACUUAAUCAUUAACUCUUGUUAGACAAUGACCCCCCAUAAAAGUCAACCGACACAGGCUGAUUCCUGAAGGACUACCUCUGCUUUUACAUCGCUGAGCCAGAGUCUGCUUUAUUGUCACAGAACAACCUGUCUUUCAAGACAUUGUUCCUAGAAGAUCCCAGGAUCCGCUUGAACCUCAAUAAUGUUCUCCAGGAGCCCCCAAGCCUCCUGCUUACUCCUUAGUGAGGGUGGAAAGAACAGAAUUGAGUUACAGUAGAAGCAAGACAGAGCUGAGCCCGGAAGACAUGGCUUAGAAUGAUUGGUGCAUCUCUCAGUCUGCCUUGUAGGAAGUCAAUAAUGAGCUUUGACUGAACAUUUUCUUUGUCCCCAUACAGGUUGAAAAUACCCCCAGUUUUUGUUUAGAAUUCUAAAGACAGGCUUUCUGUGAUUGCUGCAUUCCUAACAUUUUUGAGUCAUGGAUUUUGUUUUUAGAACAGCCUUAUAUUUAUAGAAAAUUUGAGCAAGAAGUGCAGAGAUUUUCUAUCUAUCCCUUCACCUCUUGAGCAGCUUCCUCUGUUGUUAAUUUCUGACAUUACUAUGGGAUACUUGCAACCAAGAGCAAAUGACUGCUGGCGUCUUAUGGACUGCAGUCCACAGAUCACUUGGGAUUUACGUCUUGUGGCACAUCCAUGAUGGGUUAGGACAUGCGUAAUGACUUGCACCACACACUGUCUUCAGUGUCUCUGUCUGCUAAUACAGACAAUUCCCAAAUCCAAGAAAUCAAUAACCUUUUCUAGAAAGUUCUAUAGCAUUUGAAUACAAAUCUAUAGAUUUCUACGUCUAAAAAAAGUCUAAAAAUGUUGAAAUGCAAAAGGUUUAAUUAGAAAUUCAGCCCUUACGAUUUAAUUUUUUUUUCACUUUGCAAAAUGGAUUUUGGUUUCUGCUUUGUCUUCUUAUGUCUUGAUAGCCAUUUCCAUUAUAUAGAUAAACCAUGAUGAGAAAAAUCUACUGUUCAAAGCUAGCAGUAUACAUAGAUGGUAUGGGUAUAUAGGUAGCUAUAAAUGAUAUAGAGAGCAUUUGCUUUACUUGAUUCCUAAAUUUGAGGACACAUUUGAAAAGGUGACUGCUCCAUCAUGUGGUUAAGGGGAGGAUUUUUAUCAUAGAUACGGAAAAGAGACUAGACGAGCCAGGGGCAUCUGGAAAAGUCUAAAGCAGAGAAAGAAAGAAGUAGACUGACUGAACAUGACCAAGGCUAUCUGUGAAAGAGGGAAGACCAGGAGGGGAGAGAGAAUAGAAAGUAUUGAGGGAAGCAGCGUCGGGGGAUAAAAAUAGCAGGGCAUAGGGAGAAAUGAAGAGCUGGGAGGAGGGAGGCUCAUGAGCUGGAAGGAGUUUGGGGGCAGUGGGUAGGUGAGGAGGGCUAGGAUGUGUGACAGGUACAGAGAUACUGAGGGAGUCUGGAGGCCAACAUGAGGUUUGGCAUGCUCAUAGGCACCAAAGGAAGCUGUAUGUCCCUUCUACCAGAGGUAAGGAAAAUGGCCACUUUUAGUCAAAGGGAACUGGUUGCACGGGUUCCUAAGAAAUUCAGGCUUUUUAUCUAACCACCAGAAAUCCUCCUACAGUGUAGGUUAUGCUCAUUUCUGGAUAUGUGGAGUGCCCUUUGGAGUUUGGGGAACUGCGGUGUCCUUUGGAACUGACUUCCCUUAGUUUUAAAAGUUUGAAUGUAACUACUAGGUAUAAAAUACAUAAAUAAUAAACUGGAAAAAAAAAAGCAUCAAAGUUACUUUGAUCAAGAAGAAUGUUAAAGCUGGGCCUGGUGGCGCACGCCUUUAAUCACAGCACUUGGAAGGCAGGGACAAGCGAAUUUCUGAGUUCCAGGCCAGCCUGGUCUACAGAGUGAGUUCAAGGACAGCCAGGAUUACACAGAGAAACCCUGUCUUGAAAAAAUAAG
rnacentral:lncRNA from 1 species